rnacentral:tmRNA from 1 species
GGGGCCGAUUAGGAUUCGACGCCGGUAACAAAACUUGAGGGGCAUGCCGAGCUGGUAGCAGAACUCGUAAAUUCGCUGCUGCAAACUUAUAGUUGCCAACGACGACAACUACGCUCUAGCUGCUUGGUUCAAAUCCCCCCGGCUCCACCAAAUGCACUAACAAAAUCAGGCACUUAGCGAUUAUCGCAAGUGCCUUUUUUGUGCCUGAAUGGGCUGUUUUGGCUCGGUAAUGCCAGCUUUAUGACAGCCUGUCAUUCGCCUAGGAUCGCCUCCGGCAGCGGAUACCUGGCCUUGAUCUCCGGCUACCCAAGCACAAAAAAGCCCGCAGAGUGCGGGCUGUUCAUAGAGUCUCGGGCUGCACCUCAGGAGGUGCCGGCA